GACAGAGGAUGCAAGCGUUAUCCGGAAUGAUUGGCGUAAAGCGUCUGUAGGUGGCUUUUUAAGUCCGCCGUCAAAUCCCAGGGCUCAACCCUGGACAGGCGGUGGAAACUACCAAGCUGGAGUACGGUAGGGGCAGAGGGAAUUUCCGGUGGAGCGGUGAAAUGCGUAGAUAUCAAGUGGAACACCAGUGGCGAAGGCGAAUCUCUGGACAUUUCCUGACGCUGAGGCACGAAGCCAGGGGAGCAAACGGG
rnacentral:rRNA from 1 species